GGAUCACUGAUUUAGACCCCUUCACAUCCCCGCGUUAACACAUGGACCUUACCGGUCUACUACUGAAACCUUUGAUCUUCGUAGUACGGUCGUACACGCAGCACCUGAUGGACGUGGAGCCAACAUCAACGGCCAGAAUAGGUGUUGGGUGCGUCCCAGAUCAGUAUCGGUCCGCGGCCUGGAGGUUGGGGACCACUGCACAACCCUAAGCUCCGACGACUCAGCCUAACACACCAUCAGUGUGUUUGGCGCUGUCUUCCUGAUUCCACCAACUCGCUGAUUAAAGCGUCACGCAAAGUGGAAGCGAGUGGGUGUUCAGAGCCAUCUGCCUGCGUUUGACUGGUCUCCCUCUCCCUUGGCCGCCAAAGGAAGGAAUAUCUUGGAUCUUGGGCAAGGUUUGAUCGGCACAGAUUGUGGAUUGGACUCAUUAUUAGAGGACUCCUCAUGUUAUAUGUGUUUCUGGUUACUCCUUUUUAAAUUGCUAUUUUGUGUGAUUUUUAAUCAGGGCGGACUGGCUCUGCGGCCUGCAAUUUGACCUUGAAUAUUCUGUGUAUAACUGCCUUUUCUCUGCUGUUUGAACAAUUUGUUCUUUUUCUUGCACGUUGGAUGUUUGAUGUUUUCUUCAAAUGGGUUCCAUGGUGUUUCUUUGUUUCAUGACUAAUCUCAAGGUUGUACACUGCAUACAUACUUUGAUAAUAAAUGUACUUUGAAUCUUAAGAUUGAAUAUCGAUACAUCAAAACAGAAUAUUACUAUGUCCUUUCAUGAGUGAUCUCCUCCAAGAUUCUAAAUACAUCUUCCUUCAUUCUUCCCUUCCCCAGAGAUCAAACAGCAUCCCAUUUGAUGAGGAGGGAUUUCUUUAGCCAGAGAGUGGUGAAUCUAUGGAAUUCAUUGCCAUAGGUGGCUGUGGAGGCCAAGAUAUUGGGAAUAAAGUGGAUGUUGAUAAGUUCCUAAUUAGAAGUUGGCAGAAUUAAGGGAUUGAGAGGAAUAAUAAAUAAGUCACGAAGGAAAGGUGAGGCAGACUUGAUUGGCCGAAUAGCCCAAUUCUGCUCCUAUGUCUUAUGGUCUUAUCACAAUUUA